GCCCUCAUAGCUCAGGGGAUAGAGCGUCCGCCUCCGGAGCGGAAGGCCGUAGGUUCAAUUCCUACUGGGGGCACCA
rnacentral:tRNA from 1 species